AGGCUNUAACACAUGCAAGUCGAGCGGACUUNAUGGAGUGCUUGCACUCCUGAUGGUUAGCGGCGGACGGGUGAGUAACACGUAGGUAACCUGCCCAUAAGACUGGGAUAACUACCGGAAACGGUAGCUAAUACCGGAUAGGUUCUACUCUCGCAUGAGAGAAGAAAGAAAGACGGAGCAAUCUGUCACUUAUGGAUGGACCUGCGGCGCAUUAGCUAGUUGGUGAGGUAACGGCUCACCAAGGCGACGAUGCGUAGCCGACCUGAGAGGGUGAUCGGCCACACUGGGACUGAGACACGGCCCAGACUCCUACGGGAGGCAGCAGUAGGGAAUCUUCCGCAAUGGGCGAAAGCCUGACGGAGCAACGCCGCGUGAGUGAUGAAGGUUUUCGGAUCGUAAAGCUCUGUUGCCAGGGAAGAACGUCCUUAAGAGUAACUGCUUAAGGAGUGACGGUACCUGAGAAGAAAGCCCCGGCAAC
rnacentral:rRNA from 1 species